GACGUAGGAUGCGAGCGUUGUUCGGAAUUAUUGGGCGUAAAGCGUGCGUAGGCGGUCAUCUAAGUCUGGUGUUAAAGCUAGAGGCUCAACCUCUGUGUUGCACUGGAAACUGGGUGACUUGAGUGCGGUAGGGGAAGGUGGAAUUCCGAGUGUAGCGGUGAAAUGCGUAGAUAUUCGGAAGAACACCGGUGGCGAAGGCGACCUUCUGGGCCGCAACUGACGCUGAGGCACGAAAGCGUGGGGAGCAAACGGG
rnacentral:rRNA from 1 species